AUUGAACGCUGGCGGCAGGCCUAACACAUGCAAGUCGAGCGGAUGAAGGGAGCUUGCUCCUGGAUUCAGCGGCGGACGGGUGAGUAAUGCCUAGGAAUCUGCCUGGUAGUGGGGGAUAACGUCCGGAAACGGGCGCUAAUACCGCAUACGUCCUGAGGGAGAAAGUGGGGGAUCUUCGGACCUCACGCUAUCAGAUGAGCCUAGGUCGGAUUAGCUAGUUGGUGGGGUAAAGGCCUACCAAGGCGACGAUCCGUAACUGGUCUGAGAGGAUGAUCAGUCACACUGGAACUGAGACACGGUCCAGACUCCUACGGGAGGCAGCGUUGGGGAAUAUUGGACAAUGGGCGAAAGCCUGAUCCAGCCAUGCCGCGUGUGUGAAGAAGGUCUUCGGAUUGUAAAGCACUUUAAGUUGGGAGGAAGGGCAGUAAGUUAAUACCUUGCUGUUUUGACGUUACCAACAGAAUAAGCACCGGCUAACUUCGUG
rnacentral:rRNA from 1 species